rnacentral:lncRNA from 13 species
UCAAAAUAUGCAUUAUAUAAACUUUCAGCUAGGUUUAUUGGAGACUAGGUAUGCUGGGAUGAGUACUAAAGAAAAGCUCUUGUUUGGCUUAGGAAUAAGAAGAUCAGCAUUUCCUUUCAUGUAGAGAAGGUUUCUAAGGCCUACUUUCUGAUAUCUUCUUACAUAAUAUGGGAUAAUUGCAUCUUUUAAAAAAUAGACCUAAUGCCCUUUGCCUGGGGCUAAAAAGAAAGCCUUUUUGGAGGUGAAUUCGUUCUAUUUUUUAAAUCUAUAUCAUAUAAGCUAAGAAUCUUUGCGAGAAGACAAGCUGGCAUGCACGUACUUUUUUCUUUUCCUGUUUUUUUGGAUGGAUGACCCAUCAAAACUUGCCAAAAAUAUAAUUGAAAUAUGCAUUUUCAUCUGAUGGAGGAGUCUAUAAAUUGUUGGGUAAUCUUUUAGAGUUUUCCAAAUCUGGCAGUCUGCUUCAUGCACCAAGAGAGAACAUUCAUGAAGAAAAUGUAUUCUUCACUAGUUACUCAAUGUGAACAAAGAGGCUUCUUCACCCAGCCAAGAACUCAGCUAUAUCCUGCAUACAAGUAAUAGCCAUUAGUAUGUAGAACAACACAGAUUUUUAUCAAAGAUGAAGUGAAACAUGUCAUGUUUGUGUUUGUGGAGGCACUGCCUCCACAAACUGACUAUGUGAGGUCAGUGAAGACAGUUCUCUGAGAUGAGGCCGAAGCUUAAGGUAGGCAGCCAUAAGGAUGGUGGGAAGUGUUAAGAACCCUGCCACUGUUGAGACCAAAUAGGAGUCUGGAUACGCGGAAGAAACCUGCAGGAGACCCAGGGGGAUGUUUGCAACAUAUGGGAAGAAGGAGCUGCCCAAGAAAGGUGGCGCCCUGAAAAGAGAAAAUGAUCUUAAAAUUAUUUUGUACAAUGAAAAACAAUACCUUUGACAACCAGAUGUUUGAUGAAUACAUUUUGAUAUUACAGCCAAGAGCUGGGCACCUGUUCUUUAAGGAUAGAAGAGCAACCCCUGAACUAAGGUAAAAUUUCAAAGAAUUUAUUAUCUAUUUCAAUUUAACCACAUUUUUUGAAUGCCUGCUAAAUGCUAACUACUGUAGCAGAAAUGGCAUAUAAGGCUGGGUGUGGUGGCUCACUCCUGUAAUCCCAGCACUUUGGGAGGCAGAGGAGGGUGGAUUGUUUGGGCUCAGGUAUUUGAGACAAGCCUAGGAAACAUGGUGAAACCCUGCCUCAAAAAAAAUACAAAAACUUUAGCCGGGCAUCGUGGUGUAUGCCUACAACCCCAGCUACUUAGGAGGCUGAGAAAGGAGGAUCACCUGAGCCUGAGUUGAGGCUGUGGUGAGCCAUGAUUGCACCACUGCCCUUCACCCUGGGGGAUGGAGUGAGACCCUGUCUCAAAAAAAAAAAAAAAAAGGCAAUUAACAAAUUUCUGUUUUCGUUUUUUUAGGGUGUUUCUGUCAAAUAGAAAUGUUUGAUAAGCAAAUAACUGGUUACACAGCAAUUUACUAAAAGCCGUAAUAGAGAGAUGCUCCGAGGAUUGUGGAAGAUUAAAUGAUGGAGGAGAAUUACUUACGGCAAUUUACUACUACCUUCAAAUAUACAAAUUAGCAUUUUUAAAUAAUGCUCUGAAGGUUGAUGGCAGAUGUUUCUAGGGAGAUUCAAGAAAGCGUGGGAAUACUGGAUUAAAGUUAACCGGUUGUGUCUCUAAUGCAGGAUUUAUCAGUGCCUUUAAAACUUGCUAAUGUGUGCUUUGAU